UCCUUAUCAAACCAAGGGAUGAACUUUCCUUCCUUCCUUCCUUCUCUAAGUUUAUUCCAGGCUACUCAGCAAACACAUUGCAGGAAUUUGUCCAUAACUUCAUUAUAUUUCUUCCACUGUCCAGCUUAACCAUGGCAAAAGGACCAGUUCAUCUUCUCUGCUGCUCAUACAGGAUAUUCUGGAGUUAGAUGCAUUCAAAAGGGCAAAAGGGUUACCAGUAGGUAUUAGCGGGUGCUGCUGGCAAAGGCGAACAAGAUACCAUCAGCCAGGCCCAUGGUGGAUUGUGCAGAGACUGUUUUCACUUCAGAUCAGUAAAGGGUUUCUCUUUAUUUGCACCGGAGAAUAUAUUAUUGAAGAUCAUCACGUGCAAAGAAACUUUAUAAUCAGGUUCUUAUCUUACGGGCAUUGAAAAAGUAGGAACAGAAGCUGAAGAGGAAAGUGCAAUCCUGGUCACCUCUUUUCAUGGGACAUGCAAGAAAAGAAUGAUAGUCUUCUUCAGCCUGGCAACUUCUAGCCAUGUCGGAGCAGCAAAUCCAAGAAUUACCCAUCACAUUUAGUGGUUGACAGGUUGGGGUGGCUUUGUUAAAUCAGAAAGAAUUCUGGCUGAAGGAAUCUAAUUCAAUAUCAAGAGGAUAUGUGGAUGGAUAAAAUGUGAUGUGGGAUCCAGAUUUGCAUAAUUCAGUCUGCAGUACUUCAGUUUCUGUAGAACAAAUAAGACACUGGUGGGGGAGAAGGAAGGCAGGAGAAGAAACAUGAAAGGAGAUGGUUCAGGAGCUGAGAUGGUAAAGAUGACCAUAUAUAAGAAGGAAAGGAACCAAGAAUUUUGCCUCGCUUGCAAACUGGCUAAAAUCAUCCAGGAUGCAGAUGAACACUAAAAUCCCCCUGUGGAGCA